rnacentral:rRNA from 1 species
UCGAGCGGAAACGAUCCUAGCUUGCUAGGAGGCGUCGAGCGGCGGACGGGUGAGUAAUGCAUAGGAAUCUGCCCGGUAGUGGGGGAUAACUUGAGGAAACUCAAGCUAAUACCGCAUACGCCCUACGGGGGAAAGCAGGGGCUCUUCGGACCUUGCGCUAUCGGAUGAGCUUAUGUCGGAUUAGCUGGUUGGUGAGGUAACGGCUCACCAAGGCGACGAUCCGUAGCUGGUCUGAGAGGAUGAUCAGCCACAUCGGGACUGAGACACGGCCCGAACUCCUACGGGAGGCAGCAGUGGGGAAUAUUGGACAAUGGGGGCAACCCUGAUCCAGCCAUGCCGCGUGUGUGAAGAAGGCCCUCGGGUUGUAAAGCACUUUCAGCGAGGAAGAAUGCUUGUCGGUUAAUACCCGGCAAGGGAGACAUCACUCGCAGAAGAAGCACCGGCUAACUCCGUGCCAGCAGCCGCGGUAAUACGGAGGGUGCGAGCGUUAAUCGGAAUUACUGGGCGUAAAGCGUGCGUAGGCGGCUUGAUAAGCCGGUUGUGAAAGCCCCGGGCUCAACCUGGGAACGGCAUCCGGAACUGUUAGGCUAGAGUGCAGGAGAGGAAGGUAGAAUUCCCGGUGUAGCGGUGAAAUGCGUAGAGAUCGGGAGGAAUACCAGUGGCGAAGGCGGCCUUCUGGACUGACACUGACGCUGAGGUACGAAAGCGUGGGUAGCAAACAGGAUUAGAUACCCUGGUAGUCCACGCCGUAAACGAUGUCGACUAGCCGUUGGGGUCCUCGAGANCUUUGUGGCGCAGUUAACGCACUAAGUCGACCGCCUGGGGAGUACGGCCGCAAGGUUAAAACUCAAAUGAAUUGACGGGGGCCCGCACAAGCGGUGGAGCAUGUGGUUUAUUCGAUGCAAC